rnacentral:rRNA from 1 species
AAUGAACGCUGGCGGCGUGCCUAACACAUGCAAGUCGAACGAACACACGAUGAGCUUGCUCCUUUACCGUUAGCGACUGACGGGUGAGUAAGACGUACGUCACCUACCUCUAUGACUGGGAUAACUUCGUAAAACCGGAGCUAAUACUACCUCAUAUUUCGAACCGCAUGGUUCGAUAGUGAAUGAUAGCUUUCCUGUCUCUUAUAGCUGGUCUGGUGUCGUAUUAGCUAGUUGGUAAGGUACCGGCCCACCAAGGCGACGAUCCGUAGCUGAUCUGAGAGGAUGAUCAGCAACACUGGAACUGAGACACGGUCCAGACUCCUACGGGAGGCAGCAGUGGGGAAUAUUGGACAAUGGGCGCAAGCCUGAUCCAGCCAUACCGCGUGGGUGAAGAAGGCCUUCGGGUUGUAAAGCCCUUUUGUUGGGAAAGAAAAGCAGCAGGUUAAUACCCCGCUGUUCUGACGGUACCCAAAGAAUAAGCACCGGCUAACUUCGUG